UAGCAGAAAUGUUUGUGUUUAUUGCAAAACUGCUGAUUUUCAGCUCAGUUAUUACAUCGGCUUUCACUUGCUAUCAAUGUUUCAUUGAUGAAAAUGACAGUCGUCGUUUGUGUUUGGGUCAUAUUCUUACCGAAUACAAUGUAAGGAAUGUAGACUCUUGUUACAAAACAUUGGAUCGCAUAUUCAACAAUGAAGAGAAAGUCAUAGAGGCUGGUAAAGUAGGGAGAGGAUAUGACUUGACGCUGAAGAAUAUUUUGAUGGCUGAGAUUAUGCCUAUAGUAGAGGAAUUUGACCAGCAGCUAAAUUACGAUACAGAGUAUGAGUCCAGGUUACAGGCAGCAGCAAACAAUUUCAUUGCAGCGGCCUCAAGCCUGCCCAGAGGAUUCAUCUUUACUGUUUAGGUUUCCAGGUGCAGGGUGCUGUUUAUAACUGCGUGACCUGUCAGUAUGACUCCUGUGAGUUCCCGCUGGACUGUCCCGGGAAGGAAAUCACUGUACAAGAGAACAACAGGACUCAGAUGUGGUGUAGCGUCCCUUUCCUGCUGCCUGCAGAUGUAGAGAUAGUCUGGAGAUACGCACAGGACAGAACGAUGCUGAGGGAGCGUUUUGAUGAUGUGACAGUUGGAGUAGAUCCUUUAUACUCCAUUCCCUCUGCCCGUCCUGAGCAAUCUGGAACCUACCAGUGUGAAGUGCUUUCUCAGGAGCAAUCACUCGUCCGGCUUUACUUCUACCUCACAGUGGUUCCUGUGGCACAGACUUAUCAUGUCCACCUGCAGGAUCUCUGUGCUCAGGCUCUUCGUCCAGAACCCCAGUUUCCUCCUUCGUUCAGCUUCUGGUUGCCCAGGCCUGCCCUCCUCAUCACCUGCCUGACCGCAACCAUGCUGCUGAUUUUCCUCAGUCUGGGAGCGAUGUGUCGGUUAUGGUAUCAGAUUAGGACCAACGUUUCUAAUCCAGCCUAAGAAACAAUAUUGACAGAAAAGAAGAAAUACUUGAUUCACUGCUAAACACAGUGUUUCAACAAUAAAUGCAUUUCUAAUUAAAACUGAAUGGACUAUUCAGAAUUAAUCUCUUCAAAUACUAUUAAACAGAAAUGAGCUUUUGAAGACUUCUGGGAGAAAAUGUAAGAGGCAGUGAAUCUGAGCGCAUGAAUGCGACUUCACCACUACGUUCAGUUAUAAAGGCUUCUUUAUGCUACUAAAUAUAGCCAGACAUGACUCAGGGCGUAACUCCUUUUACAGUUUUUACUCAGUGUUUUGAUGCUGUUGUCCCAACAACCCAUUAAGUCAAAUCUGGGCGAGGAAAAUGCUUUAUUGUACAGAACUGCAAUUUUCCAUAAUGUUUGUUAGGACAAUGUGUAUUUUAGAGCUACAAACUUUAUUACAAUGUCUGGAUUUUAUCACAGUGCUUAAGAUUUAA
ensembl:processed_transcript